UACGUAGGAUGCAAGCGUUAUCCGGAUUCACUGGGUUUAAAGGGUGCGUAGGUGGGAAUGUAAGUCAGUGGUGAAAUCUCCGUGCUUAACACGGAAACUGCCAUUGAUACUAUGUUUCUUGAAUUAUCUGGAGGUCAGCGGAAUAUGUCAUGUAGCGGUGAAAUGCUUAGAUAUGACAUAGAACACCAAUUGCGAAGGCAGCUGGCUACAGGUGGAUUGACACUGAGGCACGAAAGCGUGGGGAUCAAACAGG
rnacentral:rRNA from 1 species